rnacentral:lncRNA from 12 species
UCAUGAUCUCAGAGUCCUGGGAUCACGCCCCCACAUUGGGCUCCCAGCUCAGCGGGGAGUCUGCUUCUCCCUCUCUCUCUGUGUCUGUCUCAAAUAAAUAAAUAAAACCUUAAAAAAAGAAGAAGAAGAAACUGAGACUGAGAUCCAGAUGUGUAGAAAAUUCUAACCAUCAAUGAUCACCUAAAAGACCUUCCUUCUGAUCUUCAGUUGAGUCAUGAAAUAGUAAUAUUCAGGAACACAAAAUAGUCAGCUUUAGCUAUCAUGUAGAUUGCAAAGAUUUUGCUUUCCUGUUAUCUCUUGGUAUGUGUGACCUUUAUGAUCUCUUCAAUGUGUGUGUACACUUCUGUGCAGAGGAAACAAGCACAUUCAAGAGGAAUCAUCAGCAAAAGGCCUUCCAGGACCACCAGAUCAGAGUGACUUUGAGGUCUUGGCAAAGCUAAAAAUGUUUAUAUCAGCACAACUUUUAUGAGCACAGUAUCAGGCACUUGAUCGAGAAAGGAACAUAUUUAUUUUGCUGAAAGCGCUUCACAAACUACAAAAUACUCUAAAUGACAGCCGUCUUAUAGAAAAAUUCUGAGCAUGCAGAUCUUCAGAUGGAAAGACACGGAUGGUGGUGUUGAGUGGUGUUUAACCCACAGAACUUCAUAAUGAUCAAUAAUGACAGGCUGUGAUAAAAACAGACUUGGGCUUCCCAUGUGUUUUAUGGAUUUGGACUGAAACCAGGAAGCAUCUUUCUCAGAUUAGGGAGUCCCAUGUGAGUUCUUAGGCUCUCUUUCUUAAUGCUGUAUUUCAACCUUCCAAUUUGGUCAUCAAGCCAUAUGCCACCUAUGGACAGCAGAUCUCCUUUCAGAUAAGUGUCUCCAAGCUGCUAUUUGGGGCAGAAGACCAUAUUCUGGGUUAUAGGUCUGCUGUCUGCUGUCUGUAGGAAUCCUAUCUGUGCUCCAGUGUGCUGGCCUCACCUCACUUCUAUGACCAAAUCUGGGUUCAUAGCUGAAGUGCAUGCUUCCUAGAGAGGAGUGUGGGUGCACUUCCAGUUCUCUCAAGGACUUUAUGACCUUGGACAAGCUGCAGAAAUACUUUGUGCCUUAGAGACAAGUUACUCCCCUUACCUCCCUCUGACAGGUGCUGUCAGAAUUAGAAAGCUCUGGAAGAUUCUGAAAACGCAAACCUAAAAUAAUCAUUAUAAUUAAUAAUAGUAAUUAACUUUCAUCAUAGGUGAGUCAUCUACACCUUCAAGUUUCAGCGAUAAUUUGUUUCAAAGUUACCCCUUAGCAUUUCCUUACUUACUGGGCUCAUUCAUCAUAAAAGCUAAAAUAUAUUUUCUUUUUAUUUUUUCCAGCUUUAUGGAAUUGUAAUUGACCAACAAACAUUGUAUAUAUUUAAGGUGUACACUGCUAUAUGUAUGCAUUGUGAAAUGAUAACUGUAAUCAAUAUAAUCAAGCUAAUUAACAAGCAAACCCACAGCCUCACAUAGUUACGUGUGUGUGUGUGUGUGUGUGUGUGUGUGUGUGUGUGGUGAGAACACUUAGGAUCUACUCUCUUAGCAAAUUUCAAGUAUACAAUACAGUAUUGUUGACCAUAGUCACCAGGCUGUACAUCAAGUCUCCAAAACUCAUUGGUCAUAGGGUAGGUACAAUAUGACCACCAUCUUCCCAUUUCUUCCAUUCUCCAUCCCCUGGCAACCACCAUUCUGGGAUACACUUUAAGGAAAAUAUUCUUGGCUUUUGAAGAGAACAAAGAGAAGUUUUCCUAUCUCAUAUUUAAUGCAUGUGGAUGGCUGCUAUUGGCAAAGUAAUUUUUUUUCUUUAAACCACAAUGAAAAAAAAAGGGAGGUAAAUGUUUUUUAAAGUAAUCUAGAAUUCUGUAUCUGUAAUUAUGUCAAUACUGAUAUUUUUGCUUUUAAAUUCCUUCAGUGCUCAACAGGCCAGCUUAUCUCUGUGAAAUGUUUCCUUCUUCCUUUGUCCAAUAACAAAUGGAUAGGAAGUUCAAACAUUUAUACUUUUUCUUUGAAGCAAUUGCUCUAAAUCGGUAAUGCUGUUCCAUCAGCUACAAUUUUUAUUUCCCCCUGAUAAAGUUUUAGGUCUGUGCUCAUGAAAAAGAUAUAUAACUGUCAAUAACCAUCUUUUCAGCAGAUAGAGUCAGAGUGAGUUUAUUAAACAGAAAGAGCUGCUCUCCUGGUCUUUCUUCCUGCGACGAAUUGCCCAAUUAUUUCACAUUCUUUGAGUGUAAAAUAAACAC